rnacentral:rRNA from 1 species
GCAUAUCAAUAAGCGGAGGAAAAGAAACCAACAGGGAUUGCCCCAGUAACGGCGAGUGAAGCGGCAACAGCUCAAAUUUGAAAUCUGGCUUCGGCCCGAGUUGUAAUUUGUAGAGGAUGCUUUAGGCGCGGCUCCUUCUGAGUGCCCUGGAACGGGACGCCACAGAGGGUGAGAGCCCCGUAUAGUUGGAUGCCUAGCCUGUGUAAAGCUCCUUCGACGAGUCGAGUAGUUUGGGAAUGCUGCUCAAAAUGGGAGGUAAAUUUCUUCUAAAGCUAAAUACCGGCCAGAGACCGAUAGCGCACAAGUAGAGUGAUCGAAAGAUGAAAAGCACUUUGAAAAGAGGGUUAAAUAGCACGUGAAAUUGUUGAAAGGGAAGCGCUUGUGACCAGACUUGCGCCGGGCUGAUCAUCCGGAGUUCUCUCCGGUGCACUCUGCCCGGCUCAGGCCAGCAUCGGUUCUCGCGGGGGGAUAAAGGCCUCGGGAACGUAGCUCCUCCGGGAGUGUUAUAGCCCGGGGCGUAAUGCCCUCGCGGGGACCGAGGUUCGCGCAUCUGCAAGGAUGCUGGCGUAAUGGUCACCAGCGACCCGUCUUGAAACACGGACCAAGGAGUCAAGGUUUUGCGCGAGUGUUUGGGUGUAAAACCCGCACGCGUAAUGAAAGUGAACGUAGGUGAGAGCUUCGGCGCAUCAUCGACCGAUCCUGAUGUAUUCGGAUGGAUUUGAGUAGGAGCGUUAAGCCUUGGACCCGAAAGAUGGUGAACUAUGCUUGGAUAGGGUGAAGCCAGAGGAAACUCUGGUGGAGGCUCGCAGCGGUUCUGACGUGCAAAUCGAUCGUCAAAUCUGAGCAUGGGGGGCGAAAGACUAAUCGAACCAUCUAGUAGCUGGUUACC